AAAACACUCGAACAAACAUUUU
rnacentral:miRNA from 1 species